rnacentral:rRNA from 1 species
GAAAAGAAACCAACAGGGAUUGCCUCAGUAACGGCGAGUGAAGCGGCAAAAGCUCAGAUUUGAAAUCUGGCGUCAUUUUGGCGUCCGAGUUGUAAUCUGUAGAGGAGUAUUCGAGUGUGGAUUUGGCUUAAGUUCCUUGGAACAGGACGUCAUAGAGGGUGAGAACCCCGUUAACGGCCUAUGUCUUAUGCUCAUGUGAAUCUCCUUCAACGAGUCGAGUUGUUUGGGAAUGCAGCUCUAAAUGGGUGGUAAAUUCCAUCUAAAGCUAAAUACUGGCAAGAGACCGAUAGCGCACAAGUAGAGUGAUCGAAAGAUGAAAAGAACUCUGAACAGAGAGUUAAAUAGUACGUGAAAUUGUUGAAAGGGAAGCACUUGCUACCAGACACGCCUGUAGUUGAUCAACCUUCAUUUUUGAUGGUGCACUCGGCUAUAGGUGGGUCAGCAUCAGUUACAACGGUGGGAUAAAGGCCUUGGGAAUGUAGCUUCCUUCGGGAAGUGUUAUAGCCCUUGGUGUAAUACCAUCUGAUGUGACUGAGGCCCGCGCUUCGGCGAGGAUGCUGGCAUAAUGGUCGUAAGUGACCCGUCUUGAAACACGGACCAAGGAGUCUAACAUCUAUGCGAGUGUUUGGGCGUCAAAACCCUUACGCGGAAUGAAAGUGAAUGAAGGUGGGAACCGCAAGGUGCACCAUCGACCGAUCCUGAUGUUUUCGGAUGGAUUUGAGUAGGAGCAUAGCUGUUGGGACCCGAAAGAUGGUGAACUAUGCCUGAAUAGGGUGAAGCCAGAGGAAACUCUGGUGGAGGCUCGCAGCGGUUCUGACGUGCAAAUCGAUCGUCAAAUUUGGGUAUAGGGGCGA